rnacentral:rRNA from 1 species
AUUGAACGCUGGCGGCAUGCCUUACACGUGCAAGUCGAACGGCAGCACGGGUGCUUGCACCUGGUGGCGAGUGGCGAACGGGUGAGUAAUACAUCGGAACGUACCUUAUCGUGGGGGAUAACGCAGCGAAAGUUGCGCUAAUACCGCAUACGCCCUGAGGGGGAAAGCGGGGGACCGUAAGGCCUCGCGCGAUUAGAGCGGCCGAGGUCUGAUUAGCUUGUUGGUGAGGUAAAAGCUCACCAAGGCGAUGAUCAGUAGCUGGUCUGAGAGGACGAUCAGCCACACUGGGACUGAGACACGGCCCAGACUCCUACGGGAGGCAGCAGUGGGGAAUUUUGGACAAUGGGGGCAACCCUGAUCCAGCAAUGCCGCGUGAGUGAAGAAGGCCUUCGGGUUGUAAAGCUCUUUUGUCAGGGAAGAAACAGCAGCUCUAACACAGUCUGCGAAUGACGGUACCUGAAGAAUAAGCACCGGCUAACUACGUGCCAGCAGCCGCCGCAG